rnacentral:rRNA from 1 species
AGGGUUCGAUUCUGGCUCAGGAUGAACGCUAGCGACAGGCUUAACACAUGCAAGUCGAGGGGCAGCACGGGAGUAGCAAUACAACGUGGUGGCGACCGGCGCACGGGUGAGUAACGCGUAUGCAACCUACCUAUCAGGAGGGGAAUAACCCGGCGAAAGUCGGACUAAUACCGCAUAAAACAGGGGCACCGCAUGGUGAUAUUUGUUAAAGAAAUUCGCUGAUAGAUGGGCAUGCGUUCCAUUAGGUAGUUGGUGAGGUAACGGCUCACCAAGCCGACGAUGGAUAGGGGAACUGAGAGGUUGGUCCCCCACACUGGUACUGAGACACGGACCAGACUCCUACGGGAGGCAGCAGUGAGGAAUAUUGGUCAAUGGGCGGGAGCCUGAACCAGCCAAAGUCGCGUGAAGGAAGAAGGAUCUAUGGUUCGUAAACUUCUUUUGCAGGGGAAUAAAGUGCGGGACGUGUCCUGUUUUGUAUGUACCCUGAGAAUAAGGAUCGGCUAACUCCGUGCCAGCCGCCGC